rnacentral:rRNA from 1 species
CCUGGUUGAUUCCUGCCAGUAGCAUAUGCUUGUCUCAAAAUUAAGCCAUGCAAGUCUAAGUACAACACGGCCGUACCAGUGAGUGAAACUGCGAAUGGCUCAUUAAAUCAGUUAUGACUUUCCUUUUGAUCGCUCCACGUUACUUGGAUAACUGGGGCAAUUCUAGAGCUAAUACAUGCAACAGCGCUGACCUCCGGGGAUGCGUCGCAUUUUAUCAGACCAAAACCCAUGCGGGCAAUCUCCCGUUGCCCCGCCGCUUUGGUGACUCUAGAUACCGCGAGCCGAGCGGCGCGCCCUUUGUGGCGGUGACGUCUCAUUCGAAUGUCUGCCCUACUCAACUUUCGAGGGGUACUUGCGUUGGCCUUUACCAUGGUGACCACGGGGUAAGGAAGCAGGGUUCGAUUCCGGAGAGGGAGCCUUAGAAACGGCUUACCACAUCCAAGCGAAAGGCAGCAGGCGCGCAAAUUACCCACUCCCGACUCGGGAAGUAUUGACGCAAAAAUAACAAUACAGGACUCUUUCGAGCCCUGUAAUUGGAUGAGUACACUUUAAAAUCCUUAACGAGAUCAUGGAGGGCAAUUGGGCCAGCAGCCGCAGGUAGUUUCCAGCUCCAAUAACGUAUCUUAAAGUUGCUGCCAUUAAAAAACUCGUAUUGGACCUCGGAAUCGAGCUGCGUCCGCCGCGAGGCGAGCUACCGCCAUGUCCCAGGCCCCUGCCUCUCGGCGCCCCUCAUGCUCUUAAAAACGGAGUGUCCGCGGGUCCGAAGCGUGUACUUUGAAAAAAUUAGAGUGUUCAAAGCAGGCCCGGUCCCGAUAACCGCAGCUAGGAAUAAUGGAAUAGGACUCCGGUUCUAUUUUGUGGUUUCUUCUGAACUGGGCCCAUUGAUUAAGAGGGACGGCCGGGGGCAUUCUAAUUAGUGCCGCUAGAGGUAAAUUCUUGGACCGGGCGCGAAGACGAAACGAAAGCAAAAGACACUUUGCCAAGAAUGUUUUCAUUAAUCAAGAACGAAAAGUCGGAGGUUCGAAGACGCAUCAGAUACCGUUCGUCAGUUCCGACCGAUAACGAUGCCAAACUAGCGAUCCGGCGGCGUUAUCCCAUGACCCGCCGGGCAGCGGCCGGGAAACCCAAAGUCUUUGGUUCGGGGGGAGUAUGGUUGCAAGCUUGAAACUUAAAGGAAUGACGGAAGGCACCACCAGGAGUGGAGCCUGCGGCGUAAUUGACUCAACACGGAACCUCACCCGGCCCGGACACGGAAAGAUGACAGAUUUGAUAGCUCUUCUCGAUUCUGUGUGUGUGCAUGGCCGUUCUUAGUUGGUGGGAGCGAUUUGUCUGGUUAAUUCCGAAUAACGAAACGGGACGUCCGGCAUGCUAACUUAGUAUGCGGCCCGAGCGGUCGUGUCCAACUCUUAGAGGACAAGUGCGCGGUUCAGCCACACGAGAUUGAGCAAUAAAGGUCUGUAGCCUUGAUUCCGGGGCCACGCGCGCCACCACUGAGCGGUCAGCGUGUGUCUACCCUUCGCCGAGGCGUGGUAACCCGAUGAAACCCCCACCUCGUUGAUAGGGAAUGGGGGAUUGCAAUUAUUUCCCAUUAACGAGGAAUUCCAGUAAGCGCGGGGUCAUAAGGCUCGCGUUGAUAAAGUCCCUGCCCUUUUACACACCGCCCGUCGCUACUACCGAUUGGAUGGUUUAGUUGGGUCCUCGGAUCGGCCCUUGCCGAGGUCGGUCACGGCCCUGGUGGUUAGCGCCGAGAAGACGAUCAAACUGACUAUCUAGAGGAAGUAAAAGUUCGUAACAGGUUUCCGUAGGUGAACCUGCGGAAG